rnacentral:rRNA from 1 species
UACGGAGGGUCCAAGCGUUAUCCGGAAUCAUUGGGUUUAAAGGGUCCGUAGGCGGUCUUAUAAGUCAGUGGUGAAAUCUCCUAGCUCAACUAGGAAACUGCCAUUGAUACUGUAAGACUUGAAUUUUUGUGAAGUAACUAGAAUAUGUAGUGUAGCGGUGAAAUGCUUAGAUAUUACAUGGAAUACCAAUUGCGAAGGCA